GGGGCAGUAGCUCAGUGGAUAGAGUGGAAGAUUGCAAUUUGCCGGUUCCGGCUUCUUCAUUGCAAGCUAUCUUUAGGUCGCCAGUUCAAUCCUGGCCUGUCCCU
rnacentral:tRNA from 2 species